GUGAGACCACACGGCCAGGCAGGGAUGGCACUGGGGCUGGACCCCGGGGCUUCCUGAUGAUCAUCUACUCUUUUUUUUACACCUAGGUUGUGCUCCAGGUGCCCGAUGCUGACCAAGCACCCAGGAGAUGGAGGAGAGCUGUGGAUGCCAUGCGGGUCCAGCAGAUGCUUCUCUAUAAUGACUUGUGCUUUGAGAUAAGAUCUUAUCCGGCAGAUAAGAUCUUAAAACGACCUUCUCACUCAGAGCAAACUCAGUUAUGACAGGAAAAGCCAGGGAUGUUAGGGGUGACCACCACCUGCAGAGGGGGGAUGGAAAGGAGGGCGUGGAAGGCUCAGUGGCGGUGGUGAUGGCGGUGCUGGUGGUAUAAAGGAAGACCACCUCCCGGGCUUCGCUGGCUUCCCAGGCUGCUGGCGCCCUCAGAGCUGUUAAUCUUGGCUCCUUUUUAAUCACCGAAUUCUCUUUUAAAGAGUUGUUUCCCCACUCCUCCUCCCCCUUCCACCUCUCUUGGAGAGCCCUUUCAAGCACACCUUAAACUAGAUAAACAUGCAAGUGAGACAAGCCAUGACCAUCUGAUGUGAAGAAUGCAGCUGGUAAGGUCUAAGGUCAGAGAGUCCAGCACUCUUGGGCUGUGUGUGUGCGCGCGCGUGCGUACAUGUGUGUGUGUGUGUGUGUGUGUGUGUGUGUGUACCCCUAAGCUAGGGGUCCAAUCGGAGCUGUAGCCACCGACCUACGCCACAGCCAUAGCAAUGCAAGAUCCGAGCCUCGUCUGCAAACUACACCACAGCUCACAGCAAUGCCAGAUGCCAGGGAUUGAACUGAGUCCUCAUGGAUGCUAGUCAGGUUGUUAACUGCUGAGCCAUGGCGGAAACUUCUGAAUCUAUUGAGAAGCUCGUGUUGUUUUCCUUUUUGCUAAUAUGGUAUCAAAACAGAGGGAAGCCCAAUAAAAGCAGAAGAUGUUUGCUUGAAGCCUUGACACAAAACCUCUCAAAACCUGUGCUUCUUGUUUCAGUGUCUUGAUUUCUUAGUUUGCCCAAGUCCUGAGGUAGUUUCUCUUCACAUGUGGGAAAUGGAAAGAGAAUUUGGAAGUUAAUUUCCUUUCAAAGCACUAUUUUUUUUUUUUUUUUUUUUUGCC
rnacentral:lncRNA from 9 species